GUAGCAACCUCGAGUUGAACAACGACGGCACCGCGAGCGAUCGGCCGAAUGACGUGGCGCGCAACUCGCUAACCCUCCCGGCGCGCAGGAAUCUGGACUUCCGUUAUUCGCGCAAGUUCCGCAUCCAGGGCAACAUGGCCGCGGAAGUGAUCGCCGAGGUCAAGAACAUCUUCAAUACCGAGCAGAUCUCGAGCGUGAACGCCAACGUCACGACCAACGCGCUCGGCGUGCCGACGGCGCCGCUCCCGACGUCGGGCGACCAGCUCACGCCGACCGGCGGGUACGAGCAGCGCCAAUUGCAAAUUGGCUUUAAGUUCAUCUUCUAGAACGCAACCACGAAGCGCACGAAAUCGACGAAGCUCACGAAGGUCUUAUGGGGAACCCCAAAGGGUCUUCGUGGUUUUCGUUGGUUUCGCGACCUUCGUGGUGAGUAUCCAGGUAUAAGCAAUGCGUAGAAUUCUCUUCGUCCUCGCUGUCUUCAUCGGCGCCGCAUCCGCUCACUCGACGGCUCAGCAUCAACUCGUGCCCGUUGCCGCGCUCAAGGGCGGGCCGGCGUUGGAGCUCGCGCUUCGCAAGCUCGACACCGUCGGCAACUUCAUGAUGACGACGGCGCAUCCGGAUGACGAGAACAACGCGAUGCUCGCGUACUUCUCGCAUGGCAAGGGCUAUCGCACAUCGCUCGUGACGGCGACGCACGGCGAAGGCGGGCAGAACGAAAUCGGCCCCGAGUUGUUCGUGCCGCUCGCGGUGUUGCGCACCGAAGAGUUGCUCGCGGCGCACCAGUUCGACGGCGCCGACCAGUACUUCACGCGCGCGAUCGAUUUCGGGUUCUCGUUCAGCGUCGAAGAGACGCUGGAGAAGUGGGGCCACGACGAGAUCCUCGGUGACUACGUGCGCAUGAUUCGCACGAUUCGCCCCGAUGUGAUCGUCGGCUUCGUGUUCGACGGCGACGGCGGCGGCCAGCAUCACCAGACCUCGUCGCGGCUGACGCUCGAAGCGUUUCGCGCCGCGGCGGAUCCGG
rnacentral:misc_RNA from 1 species